rnacentral:rRNA from 1 species
UACGUAGGGGGCAAGCGUUGUCCGGAAUCAUUGGGCGUAAAGCGCGUGUAGGCGGCUCGAUAAGUCUGCUGUGAAAGUCCAAGGCUCAACCUUGGGAUGCCGGUGGAUACUGUCGAGCUCGAGUCCGGAAGAGGAGUGUGGAAUUCCUGGUGUAGCGGUGAAAUGCGCAGAUAUCAGGAGGAACACCAGUGGCGAAGGCGCCGCUCUGGGCCGUGACUGACGCUGAGGCGCGAAAGCGUGGGGAGCGAACAGG